rnacentral:rRNA from 1 species
UACGGAGGGAGCUAGCGUUGUUCGGAAUUACUGGGCGUAAAGCGCGCGUAGGCGGCUUUGUAAGUCAGAGGUGAAAUCCCGGAGCUCAACUCCGGAACUGCCUUUGAAACUGCAUCGCUUGAAUCCGGGAGAGGUGAGUGGAAUUCCGAGUGUAGAGGUGAAAUGCGUAGAUAUCUGGAGGAAUACCGGUGGCGAAGGCGGCAUCCUGGACCGGCAUUGACGCUGAUGAGCGAAAGCUAGGGGAGCAAACGGGG